rnacentral:lncRNA from 1 species
CACCAUCUUUAGAAAUCACAUAUCCUGAAAAUGUUAUCUAGUUCAACCAUAAUUCACAUUCACUCAACUUGACAUAUAGCUUCUUCUCUUUAUGGAUCCCAAGAAUAGUUGUCGAAUACUCGACAUACUCAAUCAUCUUCUAAGAAUAGUGAUGCAGACAUGGGUUCAAAAAGUAUUAAUAUAUCACAAAAAGAGAAAUAUGAAGAAGAGAUUACAAUGUCAGCUGUUCCAAUCACAAGAUUUCAAACCAAGAAG